rnacentral:rRNA from 1 species
UGAACGCUAGCGGCAGGCCAAUACAUGCAAGACGAACGGUAAGUUGAGUAGCAAUACUUAGCCAAGAGUGUCGUACGGGUGCGUAACACGUAUGCAACCUACCCUAUACAGGAGGAUAGCCUAGGGAAACCUGGAUUAACCCUUCAUAGUAUUAUUGGAUGGCAUCAUUUGAUAAUUAAAAACUGAGGUGGUAUAGGAUGGGCAUGCGUCUGAUUAGUUAGUUGGCGGGGUAAUGGCCCACCAAGACGAUGAUCAGUAGGGGUUCUGAGAGGAAGAUCCCCCACACUGGCACUGAGAUACGGGCCAGACUCCUACGGGAGGCAGCAGUAGGGAAUAUUGGUCAAUGGAUGCAAGUCCGAACCAGCCAUGCCGCGUGCAGGAAGAAGGCCCUCUGGGUUGUAAACUGCUUUUGCCAGGGGAUAAAAUUUCCAUGCGUGGAAAACUGAAGGUACCUGGUGAAUAAGCCACGGCUAACUACGUG